GAGAGAGUGAGAGGCGAGGGUGCUGAGAGAGAAGGAGCAGGAGGCUCCUGGACAGCGGUCGCCAGGCUCUUCAGGGGUUCAGGGGGGUCUCCAAGAGAGAGAGAGCUUUUGUGAGGAGAACUUCAGAUGAGAGAGAAUUGGGUGUACAAGGGUUGAGGGUGAGGUCUCCUCUUGUAAAAUUUUCUUUUCAUAGUGAAGUUUGCAUGCCCCGUGGAGGCGAGCCCUUUU
rnacentral:lncRNA from 1 species